GCCGCUGUAGCGCAGAGGUUAGCGCAUCCGCCUUCUAGAGAUUACGUAAGCGGAAGGUCCAGAGUUCGAUCCUCUGCUGUGGUU
rnacentral:tRNA from 1 species